rnacentral:lncRNA from 1 species
CAGCUCAUGUGGGACACAGCGCCUGCAACACUGAGUCUGUCCCAGAUGAUGAAAGAAGACAGUUACUACUGAAGGUUUUGGAGGUUUUGUUCCACAAAAUAGAAAGUCCAAACCAAGUCAGACCCUUUUUUCCCCUGCUAUUUUUCUACUCUGUGAACUCGCAAAGCCUGGAACUACCACCUCAAAGUAUAUGCAUGGCUUCUGCCUGCCUGCUUCCUCCAUACAAUGUAACCACCUGCCUAGAACUCCUGCCAUGAGAACUUCCCAUCAUGAUGGACCAUUAAACUGUGAGCCAAAAGAAAGCUUUUAUUUCUAAGGUUGAUUUAGUCAAGGCAUUUAUCCCAGCAACAAGAAAAGGAAUUAUAACAAUCUCUCACCAUUUUCUUCCUACAUGCAAGGAGGUAAGCAGACAAUGACAGUCCACACACUCACUCACUACUUAUUGUAAGAAACCAUGUAUAAGAAAAAAUGUCUAAUUGCCUGUGUCCAUCAGAGUCCUUUCUACAAGUGCCUUCUUCAGCCAUCAUCAGAGAAGCUCCC